rnacentral:ncRNA from 1 species
UGCCCUAAAGGUUAAGUAUUACCUUUAGGGCAACCAUGUAGCAUGUAGCA